UAUUCCUUUGUGUCUGUUAGUCAACCUGAUCUGUUAUGUGUUCGUGGGGAGGGCAUCAUGGGCAUGUCCACACCAGUGUCCACCCCAUGCCCACUCCCCCCGCACUCGCCCAUGCUGUCGCACAGACCAAAGCAGGCACUCCCGCACCCACUCCCUCAUAUCGAGGGGCACCAUCCAGCACCCCUCCCCCACUAAUGAUCCUUCCGCAGGUUCACCUACGGAAA
rnacentral:misc_RNA from 1 species